rnacentral:lncRNA from 1 species
AUGAAAAGUUGAACCUCACAUUAUAUCUUUGGGUAGGAUAGGAAACACCAAGCACAGAGAAAAAUUGUGUGUACUUUUGAAAACGAUUCCUUUUUAAAUAAUAUGUAAAACCUCACCUACUGCCAAAUAUGCUAUAUAGACAGAAGAGCAAAUUACAAUUUCUGAAACAAAAAAUUAUGGAAUAAUCAGGAAUUUUCCUGAGGGAACGUGAAGACUUCAGCUCCUGCUUCUGCUGAAGAAAUGUUACCUACAGUCAAUGAUGAUAGAAGCAGCUGACUACAGUACUGGACUGGAGUAGGACUUCUCCUCUGCGUGUUCUCAGUGCAACAUUGGAUUUACCUGAACAGCCUGGAUUUGGUCUGUGCUUUGCAUUUCUUCUGGGACAGAUCUGUGACUGCAAGUUGGACUUCCAGUCUUUGACAAACAUGGACAUACCAGCAAAAUGGUUUUUUGUACUGGUCAUACCCCUUGAAGAAGACUGCUCUUAUAGCAACUAAAUGCUGCAGUGUAGGGAGUUUCAAUUGCAGAGUACAUAUCUUACUGUAUUUUUUUCAGAUGGGCUGUGACCACAGUCUUCUGCUUCAUCUAAGGGAAAGUAUUAUUUUGGUUUGAAAGUAGUGGAAGAAUCU